CCCAGCGGUAGUCAGCUACCCGUCGCUGCUCAGUGCCUGUGAUAGUGUUAUGCUGCUGGGAGAGAAACGCCGCUGCCGAGUCGCUCCUGGCGCUGCCGGUGCCGUUCUGGCAUUAGUUGGUGGCAGGGUUUGGCAGCGCUCUGCAUGCUUGAGAGUGGAGUAACUCCUUCUCAGUGGGGUUAAUCCUAGAUGGGAUGCAGACAAC
rnacentral:snoRNA from 1 species